GCCGACGUAGCUCAGUGGCAGAGCGUCCGCCUUGUAAGCGGAGGGUCGCGAGUUCAACCCUCGCCGUCGGCUC
rnacentral:tRNA from 1 species